CGGGGUGAGUAACGCGUGGGUAACCUGCCUCAUACAGGGGGAUAACAGUUAGAAAUGACUGCUAAUACCGCAUAAGACCACAGCACCGCAUGGUGCAGGGGUAAAAACUCCGGUGGUAUGAGAUGGACCCGCGUUGGAUUAGCUAGUUGGCAGGGCAGCGGCCUACCAAGGCGACGAUCCAUAGCCGGCCUGAGAGGGUGAACGGCCACAUUGGGACUGAGACACGGCCCAG
rnacentral:rRNA from 1 species